rnacentral:rRNA from 1 species
AACGAACGCUGGCGGCAUGCCUAACACAUGCAAGUCGAACGAUCCCUUCGGGGAUAGUGGCGCACGGGUGCGUAACGCGUGGGAACCUGCCCUUAGGUUCGGAAUAACUCAGAGAAAUUUGAGCUAAUACCGGAUAAUGUCUUCGGACCAAAGAUUUAUCGCCUUUGGAUGGGCCCGCGUUGGAUUAGCUAGUUGGUGGGGUAAAGGCCUACCAAGGCGACGAUCCAUAGCUGGUCUGAGAGGAUGAUCAGCCACACUGGGACUGAGACACGGCCCAGACGGGAGGGAGAGGAGGAGGGGAGAAAAAAGGAAGAGGGGGAAAAAGACAGAGAAGGAAAGGGGGGGGGAGUGAUAAGGGGGUGGGGGUUGAAAAGCUCUUUGGACGGGGAGAAAAAUGACGGUACCGGGAGAAGAAGCCCCGGAUAACUCCGUG